rnacentral:rRNA from 1 species
AUGUUUGCAUUUACUUCGAUGGGUGGCCAGGUAGACUACGAGAUAAACAAAAAAGGGGGUGCACCGUAUGUUUUUCGCUUGAAUGGCCAAAACUAUCAUCAAAUUGGCACGUUGCUACCUAAAGAUAAUGGAGAUAAUGCUCUCAGGCCAAAGUUUGCUCAAUUGUACAUUUAUGAUACAGAAAAUGAGGUCAGGAAUAGAAUGCAAGCUUCAACCUCAAAGGAAAGGAAAACACAACUUGAUGAAGGCAUUGUGUCUGGAUUAUUGCAGAUGCUUGAUGAGCACAAUGAGUUAGUGAAAUCAUUCCGUAUGGCAAGGGAUAGAUACCAAGAGUCAGAUCUCGAAAAUGUUAGAUUGCGAUUAAUUGGUACAAGAUCCAGUGAUGGAAGACAAUACAACCUACCAAAUGCAUCUGAAAUAGCUGCACUCAUUAUUGGGGAACAGACAGGAGAAAAUGUUGAACGUGAUAUAAUAGUAGAAAACAAAGACAGACAACUCCAGCGAAUUUCAGAACUACAUCCAAGCUUUAUGUCUAUGCAAUACCCGUUAUUAUUCCCGUACGGAGAAGAUGGAUUCAGACCAGAAAUAGAAUUAGAAAAAAAAAAAGAUGUUGAAGGAAAGAGAAAGUAUGUUACCAUGAUGGAGUAUUAUGCAUAUCGUAUCCAGCAGCGACUGAACCAGUCAGUAGUCUUGCAAACGAGUGGCAAGUUGUUCCUUCAGUUCAUCCUAGACGCAGCAACAUGCAUUGAGCAAUGGAGGCUUCAUCAUAUAAUGGAAGUCCGAGGAAUAAACAGCAGUACUACCAGGAUGCAAUGGCCAUAUGUCGGUGGGCUGGAUAUCCAGAUCUGUUUAUCACUUUCACAUGCAACCCAAAGUGGCCAGAAAUACAGAUCAUGUUGGACUUCCUUGAUGCACGAUACCUAUCCGCAGGUGAAGCAUCUUGGCGUAUCUUUGGAUUUGAACUUCAGCACUGGCAACCUUCUGUACAGAGACUGCAAUUCCACCUUCAGGAUGAGCAAAUGGUCGUGUUCCCAGACUCAACUGACAUCGAUAAAAUUGUACAUAGACCUGGGGGAAGAACUGCACAUUCAAGAUUUCACAUCCCGCUCAACAUCACUAAUGAGUCCACAUGUGACAUCAAGCAAGGAUCCUAUCUUAUGA